ACGGGAGGCAGCAGUGGGGAAUAUUGGGCAAUGGGCGAAAGCCUGACCCAGCAACGCCGCGUGAAGGAAGAAGGUUUUCGGAUUGUAAACUUCUUUUAUCAGGGACGAAGAACGUGACGGUACCUGAUGAAUAAGCCACGGCUAACUACGUGCCAGCCGCCGCGGUAAUACGUAGGUGGCAAGCGUUAUCCGGAUUUACUGGGUGUAGAGGGCGCGUAGGCGGGGAUGCAAGUCAGAUGUGAAAUCCAUGGGCUUAACCCAUGAACUGCAUUUGAAACUGUAUCUCUUGAGUGUCGGAGAGGGAGACGGAAUUCCUAGUGGAGCGGUGAAAUGCGUAGAUAUUAGGAGGAACACCAGUGGCGAAGGCGGUCUACUGGACGAUAACUGACGCUGAGGCGCGAAAGCGUGGGGAGCAAACAGGAUUAGAUACCCUGGUA
rnacentral:rRNA from 1 species